rnacentral:rRNA from 1 species
UACGUAGGGGGGCAAGCGUUGUCCGGAUUUAUUGGGCGUAAAGAGCGUGUAGGCGGCCAUGUAGGUCCGUUGUGAAAACUCGAGGCUCAACCUCGAGACGCCGAUGGAAACCAUGUGGCUAGAGUCCGGAAGAGGAGAGUGGAAUUCCUGGUGUAGCGGUGAAAUGCGCAGAUAUCAGGAAGAACACCCGUGGCUAAGGCGGCUCUCUAGUACGGUACUGACGCUGAGACGCGAAAGCGUGGGGAGCGAACAGG